rnacentral:rRNA from 1 species
GAUGAACGCUGGCGGCGUGCCUAAUACAUGCAAGUCGAGCGAACGGACGAGAAGCUUGCUUCUCUGAUGUUAGCGGCGGACGGGUGAGUAACACGUGGAUAACCUACCUAUAAGACUGGGAUAACUUCGGGAAACCGGAGCUAAUACCGGAUAAUAUUCUGAACCGCAUGGUUCAAAAGUGAAAGACGGUCUUGCUGUCACUUAUAGAUGGAUCCGCGCUGCAUUAGCUAGUUGGUAAGGUAACGGCUUACCAAGGCAACGAUGCAUAGCCGACCUGAGAGGGUGAUCGGCCACACUGGAACUGAGACACGGUCCAGACUCCUACGGGAGGCAGCAGUAGGGAAUCUUCCGCAAUGGGCGAAAGCCUGACGGAGCAACGCCGCGUGAGUGAUGAAGGUCUUCGGAUCGUAAAACUCUGUUAUUAGGGAAGAACAUAUGUGUAAGUAACUGUGCACAUCUUGACGGUACCUAAUCAGAAAGCCACGGCUAACUACGUG